AAUUAACCUUCUCUUAUCCUGUUCUUUCUUUCUGUCUCUCUCUCUCUUUUUCUCUCUCUAUGUGCUAUUGGUUCUGUUUUUCUGGAGAGCCCCCACUGAUACACUAGCGACUCACAGGGAAAUAAAACAUCCUGUUCGGCUACCUGACUGAGACUUUCCCUGCUUGCAAAACCAGUUGAACCAUAAACCGCUCCAUCUACAACUUGUUUACUCUUCUUUAGGAAACUCUAAGGCAGGGGCGCCUGGGUGGCUCAAGUGGUUAAGUAUCCUUGUCGUAGACCUGCCUGGGGGGUCCACUCUGGCAUGGAACUGCAGAAGGCCUCUUGUUGGCCGAGUAGCUCCAGCUGGUACCCAGCGGGAGAGUGGGGACUUCAGGCCUUCAGCUGCUAGGAACUGAAUUGUGCCAACAAGGUGAUAGUCUUGGAAAAGUUCCUCAAGCCCCAGGUGAGAACUGCAAUCUUGCCAACACCCUGAUACCACCCUGGAGGCCAGCCAGAGAUCCCAACCACAUCAUGUCGGACUUCUGACAUACAGAAUUUUGAAGAAACAUGCUCAGAGGGGCAAGGAAUCAGCUUGGGAAAGAGUGAAGUGUCAUCGUACCAAGACUGGAGAGAGAAUGGGCCAGAUUAUAGGGGGUCCCAAAUGUCUUCUGAGUGGUGAUGGGAUAGAAUCAGUGUUCAAGAGAGGUUUUCCUCAUAGUUCUAUGGGGGAUGAAGUUGUGACCAACUAAGAAAUCAUUUUGUUAGUCUAAUGACAAGAGUGUAAAGAGAAAGAUGGGGAAUAGGUGAGAACCUAGCCAGGUAAAAGUGAGACUUUGUGAUCUAUCAAAUGUGAUGUGGUAGUCAAGAUGGUUGCCGGGGGGAGGGGGUUUGGGAGAAGGGGGUGGGAUUAUGGACAUUGGGGAG
rnacentral:lncRNA from 1 species